CUGUCAAAAUAUAAAAUAUUUCUCAAAUAUGGUUUGUUUAUGUAACAUACCCAGUGUGAGCCAUAACAAUUAGAGGGUUGAAAAUUAAUUAUACCUGAUUCAUCUUUUUCAAUUUUUUUGGGUAACAAGUCAAUUGCAAAAACACCUCGAAAAUUUCGCGUAGCUUCAUGAGGCGAACCCGAAUUUUUCAUAAUAUCAGAUAUUUCUAUAUUACUUAAACCCGAUUUCCUAUCAAUUUUAUUCCUUGUCCAUAUGUCUUCGUCUUUGGGUUUGUGAUUAUGUUCAUAUAAUUGUUUUCUAAUAAAUCACGGAAAUAAUUAACUGUAAUUAUGAUAACUCUUAUUUUUAACUGUUGAAGAAAAAAUUUAUUUUGGUACUUUAUUCAUUGUCCCAAUAUACUACUUUGGAACAACCGAAAAUUUUAUUAAAUGAAUUGGUUUAACAUCGUUUCUUAAUUAAUUCAUUUCCCACAAAAAUUUGACCAAAAUAUUAUUUGAAUAAUAAAAUAACCCACAGAACAAAAUAACCAAUGUGCCCCUCUUUCUAUGCGUUCUAUUGCGUGCGCGUCUACGCUUCUGCGCGUAGCUUCCGUGAAAAACGUGCAGUAGUGUAUGGUAUGGUAUGGUUUAGCGUGCCUUGCAUCCGCCAUAUGUCUUUAGAUGGAACGUUAGUACAAUAUCCGAAUAUUGAGAACAAUGAAUUGCCCAUGUUAAUUGGGUGUCCUUUUGAAACGACCAUCGACGAUGCCAAAAACUACUUCUUACGUUAUUGCUACAAGGAUGUGGUUAUUAAUGACAUCGUGCCGUGGAAACGGAAUUGUCAACCGUCGUGUGCAUGGAGGGUCGUAUAUAAAACUAGCGGCUAGCCCUUGCCGGUCUACAAAUUUUCGCUCAGUCGAAAUGUUGCGAGCGAGGUCGGAACAGUACGAACGGAGACCAUAACGGACUUCUCAUUUCAGCUGGGCAUAUUGGAAUAGUGGUUUUUAUGGAAAUAUGUUGCGCGUGGCUGGGGCUUCGCCCCAGUUAACUAAAAGGAAACAAACCCCACGACCAAUUAAACUCGAAAACGUGGAACUCGAAACGUGGAAUAGUGUUUUUUUAUGGAGCUAGGGUGGCGUACAGUUCAUAAACAUAAACACUAUUCCACGUUUCGAGUUCCACGUUUUCGAGUUUAAUUGGUCGUGGGGUUUGUUUCCUUUUAGUUAACUGGGGCGAAGCCCCAGCCACGCGCAACAUAUUUCCAUAAAAACCACUAUUCCAAUAUGCCCAUCAAUGCCGAUUGUUAAUGUAAUUAUUUUUAAAAUACUCAGAAAACUCUUUAGACUUAACCAGCCCAGCUGAAAUGAGAAGUCCGUUAUGGUCUCCGUUCGUACUGUUCCGACCUCGCUCGCAACAUUUCGACUGAGCGAACAUUUGUAGACCGGCAAGGGCUAGCCGCUAGUGUAUAUAAAUUAAAAGAUCCAACUCCCGUGGAGGAUUUCUGCAUUCCUUUACCAGAGGGCGAUGAAGAAUUAAACAAAUUAUUUGCUAAUAUAACCCCCAUGAGUGUUGGAAUGACAGUAGCCACCAAAGGAUAUACUUAUGAUAAAACCUAUGCUUUAGUGAAUUAUAUGCCAAGGAGUUGCCCUUGUCCUUCCUACACAGGAUUUUAGUGAGACCGCAAAGCUGAUGAUACCUCGUAUGCGGUCAGUUACAGAGAAAGUAUGCCUUACUUUCGGCAAUAUAACAUUGUAAUUUAAUUAUUUUUUGUUAUUAGAAAGUGAAAUUAAGUUUUUAUAUAUAAUA